rnacentral:rRNA from 1 species
GUCUACGGCCAUACCACCCUGAACGUGCUCGAUCUAGUCUGAUCUCCCAAGCUAAGCAGGGUCGGGCCUGG